GUCUGGCUGGCUCAGUCAGUAGAGCAUGUGACUCUUGAUCUUGGGGUUGUGGGUUUGAGCCCCACAUUGGGUA
rnacentral:tRNA from 1 species